UACGUAGGUGGCGAGCGUUGUCCGGAUUUACUGGGCGUAAAGAGCGCGCAGGCGGCUGGUCAAGUCCGAUGUGAAAGCUCCCGGCUUAACUGGGAAAUUGCAUCGGAAACUGAUCGGCUGGAAGGUGGGAGAGGGUAGCGGAAUUCCCGGUGUAGUGGUGAAAUGCGUAGAUAUCAGGAAGAACACCAAUGGCGAAGGCAGCUCUCUGGGACGGUACUGACGCUGAGACGCGAAAGCGUGGGGAGCGAACAGG
rnacentral:rRNA from 1 species